rnacentral:rRNA from 1 species
AACACGUGGGUGAUCUGCCUUGCACUCUGGGAUAAGGCUGGGAAACUGGGUCUAAUACCGGAUAUGACCUUCGACUGCAUGGUCGAGGGUGGAAAGAUUUAUCGGUGCAUGAUGAGCCCGCGGCCUAUCAGCUUGUUGGGGGGGUAAUGGCCUACCAAGGCGACGACGGGUAGCCGGCCUGAGAGGGCGACCGGCCACUCUGGGACUGACACACCGCCCACACUCCUACGGGAGGCAGCAGGGGGGAAUAUUGCACAGUGGGCGGAAGCCUGAUGCAGCCACCCCGCGUGAGGGAUGACGGCCUUCGGGUUGUAAACCUCUUUCCACUCCCAAAAAGCGAGAGUGACGGUAGGAAUAUAAAAAGCACCGGCCAACUACGUGCCAGCCCCCGCGGUAAUACGUGGGGUGCGAGCGUUGUCCGGAAUUACUGGGCGUAAAGAGCUUGUAGGCGGUCUGUCACGUCUUCUGUGAAAACUUGAGGCUCAACCUUAAGCUUGCAGGCGAUACGGGCAGACUAGAGUACUUCGGGGGAGACUGGAAUUCCUGGUGUAGCGGUGAAAUGCGCAUAUAUCAGAGAGGAACACCGGUGGCGAACGCGUCUCUCUGGGAAGUAACUGACGCUGAGAAGCGAAAGCGUGGGUAGCGAACAGGAUUAGAUACCCUGGUAGUCCACGCCGUAAACGGUGGGUACUAGGUGUGGGUUUCCUUCCACGGGAUCCGUGCCGUAGCUAACGCAUUAAGUACCCCGCCUGGGGAGUACGGCCGCAAGGCUAAAACUCAAAGGAAUUGACGGGGGCCCGCACAAGCGGCGGAGCAUGUGGAUUAAUUCGAUGCAACGCGAAGAACCUUACCUGGGUUUGACAUACACCGGAAACCUGCAGAGAUGUAGGCCCCCUUGUGGUCGGUGUACAGGUGGUGCAUGGCUGUCGUCAGCUCGUGUCGUGAGAUGUUGGGUUAAGUCCCGCAACGAGCGCAACCCUUAUCUUAUGUUGCCAGCGCGUAAUGGCGGGGACUCGUGAGAGACUGCCGGGGUCAACUCGGAGGAAGGUGGGGACGACGUCAAGUCAUCAUGCCCCUUAUGUCCAGGGCUUCACACAUGCUACAAUGGCCGGUACAGAGGGCUGCGAUACCGUGAGGUGGAGCGAAUCCCUUAAAGCCGGUCUCAGUUCGGAUCGGGGUCUGCAACUCGACCCCGUGAAGUUGGAGUCGCUAGUAAUCGCAGAUCAGCAACGCUGCGGUGAAUACGUUCCCGGGCCUUGUACACACCGCCCGUCACGUCA